rnacentral:misc_RNA from 1 species
AACUUUCAACAACGGACCUCUUGGUUCUGGCAUCGAUGAAGAACGCAGCGAAAUGCGAUAAGUAAUGCGAAUUGCAGAAUUCAGUGAAUCAUCGAAUCUUUGAACGCACAUUGCGCCCCUUGGUAUUCCGAGGGGCAUGCCUGUUCGAGCGUCAUUGCAACCCCUCACGCCCAGCGUGGUCUUGGGGCCCGCGUCCCCCGCGGCCCUUAAAACCAGGAGCGGUGCCCGGCGGGCCCUAAGCGUAGUCGUCUACCCUCGCUUCUGGGCCCCCCGGGUGCCUGCCACCACCAGAACCCUUCAGGUUGACCUCGGAUCAGGUAGGGAUACCCGCUGAACUUAAGCAUAUCAAUAAGCGGAGGCU